rnacentral:lncRNA from 1 species
CCCGCCGGCCGCAGCCGGUGCUGUUUGGGGAUGUUUCCAGUCCACCCCCAACUCCAUUCACUUCAGCGCCUCCGUUCAUCCGCCCGCUGCCCGCGUGCACAUGCCACACGCUGAGUCCCAGGCCUCGGCGCUCCCCCUCCCCCACUAACCCGGGCGCCCGCCUUCCUCUCCAUGGCCGUCCCUCACUCCCCCGAGGGCUAGGGGACUUCUGAGGGUGAUUCUUGGAGGCAAGGAGCAGCAGGCAUCUCGUAGCUGCUUGCUGCCUCUCUGGGUCGCCUCCGCCGUCCCCGUGACUGGAAGACGCUCGAGCCGGCUGCGGAUCGGACCAGUCCAGUGUCCCUAACUCCACCUUCGCCCUCACCGUCCUGCCCGAGGACAAGGCGGCCCUUGGUGCUGAAGGACAGCUCCCAGCUUAGCUGCUGAGGAAGACUGAGUUUGGAGAGCGUCCUGGAGGGGGCAAGGCGGCUGCUGAGAAUAGCUGACUGAGAGUUAGAGAAGCUGCGCCGCCCGGAUGGAACCAUGUGCUUGGGCCCUCACAGAGUCACAUGGCACUAGGAAUUCGGACGUACAAACAUCCUGACGCGCCACUAACCUUGUUUGGACUCCACUGACCCUGUGGUCUGCUUGCCUUCCUCACUCCCAGUAACUCACAUUGUAAUUUUUUGUCAACCGUUGCCGGCAAGCAUUUGUUAAUGUUAAGAAUAAC